AUGAAUUUCGAUGCUUCGUCGGACGAGGAGUAUGGACCGACGGAGCUUGAUAAAAUUAUUCAAGAUGAGUUAUUCGAUUACUCGAAUUCAGACGAAGAAGUGGACAUGAGCAUGCAAGAGGUAAUGGACCCGCAAGGGGAGCAUAUUCUUAACUUCAAGGGCUCAAUCAAAGGCGCCGGCAUGGCGGACGCCUACUCCUGGUCCUCCAAGCGGAGUUACAAGACCGACUACGUCUGGCACGACCUCACCACCGACGACCCCGUGCACCCCGCCAACGGCGUCGAGUACGUGCUCAUGGGCCCCAAGCUGCUCCACCUCCUCCCUGGCCCACGACCGGCGCAACAAAUGGAGCUCCUUCGACCUCGGCCAGUACGUGGUGGCAGCCGCGCGCAUCGGCACCGGGCCGGACACGGCCAUGCAGACCGGCGAGAAACAAGGCCGGCACCGGGACCUCGAGCCAUCUCCGCCGCAACACACUACGACGAGCUCGGAGCCGACGAGAUCUCGCCGCCGUCGUCAUCCAGCAGGCCCGACACGCUGGAGACGCUCAUCGAGAAUGACGCUCGUGUGGCCGCCGCCUCGAACACCGUCGCCACUUGGCGGGAUGAAGAGGAUGCGGGCUUGGCGCAACAGGGCGUGAUCGCGGGCGGCCAGAUGCGCGCGUCGGCGGUGCUGAUGCGGCUCAUCUCCUGCAGCAGCCAGGCGGGACGCCGGUCCGGGCGGUGCGAGGCGCACAAAGCGUUUCCCGCGCGAGCGGUCAGACCUGAGCAGCAGCACGCGAACGGCUUCACGGGAAGCAUCGGGAGUCGUCGUAUGCAUCGAGCGGGAGUACUUCAGCUGCAGCCCGAUGGAGACCAAGAAGACGACGAGCUGGGCGCGUGCACUGAAACGGAGCCGCAGCAGAAGGGAUCGGAGAUGGCCAAGUCGAAGAACCACACGGCGCACAACCAGUCGUACAAGGCGCACAGGAACGGCAUCAAGAAGCCCAAGCGCCAGCGCCAGGCCUCCACCAAGGGGUGCAUCCUUCAAUCUGGGUUAGUUAGUUUCUUUCCUGCAAUUAUCUGUAAUCAUGCUAGAAACGUGAACCUGUCGUGGACAAAUUGGAGUACGACCCUGAAAUAUGAGAUGGACCCGAAGUUCCUGAGGAACCUGAGGUACUCAAGGAAGCACAACGUCAAGGCUGGUGAGGGAGAGGUUGAGAAGUAA
rnacentral:rRNA from 1 species